rnacentral:RNase_P_RNA from 3 species
GAGGAAAGUCCGGGCUCCAUAGGGCAAGGUGCCAGGUAACGCCUGGGGGGUGUCACAGCCCACGACCAGUGCAACAGAGAGCAAACCGCCGAUGGCCCGCGCAAGCGGGAUCAGGUAAGGGUGAAAGGGUGCGGUAAGAGCGCACCGCGCGGCUGGUAACAGUCCGCGGCACGGUAAACUCCACCCGGAGCAAGGCCAAAUAGGGGUUCAUAAGGUACGGCCCGUACUGAACCCGGGUAGGCUGCUUGAGCCAGUGAGCGAUUGCUGGCCUAGAUGAAUGACUGUCCACGACAGAACC